AAGGCACUUCCCUCUUCUGUGGCUGCUGGAUUUCAAGACAAAGCUUCCAGAAUAGUGAGUUUCCCUUUCCUGGAGUCCUGCCAGAGUGGAGGGUGCACGUAUGUGUGUCUGUGUAUUCACAUGCAAGUAACCAGCCAAAAUGACAUGGGCUCUGCUUCUUCUCAGAGGCAAAAGGUGCAGUAUUAAAUUGCAAUAUCGACGCAAGCACCAAAGAACUACAGUGCUACCCUGAGGACAAAAGGCAUUUUCAAUGUCUUAAAUAUAUUACAAAGAAGUCUUUUCUUUAAAUCAUCAAGCAAGUAUUCAAUUUAGAUGGUGUCUCGUGGAUAAUCUCUAAGUAAAACAACUGGUUCCAGUUUGCUUGUUGAAAGAAUUGUGACAGAAGAGCAGAGCUUAAUGAUGAAUACCCCAGCAAUAAUCGUGCAGCUGCAGAAGACAAUGAUCCUGGAAAAUUCACCACCACCCUGGGUAUUUGGAUUUUCUCUUCGUAAAUAGUUGUAGAUUGUGUGAUUUGAGUUUCUACUACAUAGUUUGCUUAUUCCACAUUAAACUGCAAAUCCUCCAAGGAUAGAGGGCGAUUUUUAUAUUUUAUAACUUCAUGUAACUUAUAUUAAAAACUUUCAUACAGAGUAAAAUUAUCAAUGGAAAUGUAUUGUCCAGAGGACAAUAAAUGGA